rnacentral:tRNA from 1 species
GUUUCAGUGGCGUAGUGGUUAACGCACGGCCCUGGUAAGGCGCCCGCGUCGCAAAACUCGCAUCUAAGGCGAAAUUCGAACCCGCGAGGCGCGGGUUCGAAUUUCGCCUUAGAUG